GGAAGUGCGAAAUCAGCCGGCGCCCUGACCUCGUUUGGGAAAUAAGGGAAUGUCAAAUACUGAUUUCUAAAAAAUCCACUCUGAAGCCGUGGAUCAUCUGCUUCGUGUCAAUCACACUUCUAGGCACUGGGCAUAGAGCGUUUUCCCAGGAGUAUGGUUUGGAUGGAUGGAUCAUUCCAGAGAUAUCCUCUGAAGUCUUAUGAAAGAUUUCCCACAAAGGCUUAUUGAAGACUCUGAUAUAAUGAGGAGACUGAAGCUGGAAAAGGUUAAGAAACUUGUGCAAGAUCACCAGCAAUAAGCAUCUGACCAGGACUCAGACCCAUGUAGCCAGACUCCAGAGUCUUUUACUACUGUACUGUGCAGCCUGGCUUAUAGGAUCUUAGUUCCCCGACUGGGGAUCGAACCCAGGCUCCCAGCAUUGGAAGCGAGAUUCUCAACCACUGGACCACCAGUGAAUCCCCUGUUGAUCUUAAAAAGUAUGGUAAGUGAAGUUUAUGGUAAGUAUAGCUCCAUAUUUUUAAAUGUUAAAAAGUGUUGUCUGUGGAGACCUGGAGAUCCCUCUGAGACAUUCUAGUGGGUCUGCAGGGUCAAAAGUAUUUUCAUAAUAACACUAAGACA